UUGAGGAUGACAUCACCAUGGCAAUGGUGCUCACUGACAGCCUGAGAGGGAAUGCUGCUCUGGGAUAGGCUGACGAUGGACAACACCCACCAUCUCCACACACGCAGCAUCCAAUCAAAAGGACCGUUAGUGAAUUAGACACGGGGUUAAUUUGUGGUACAUCACAGAGACACAGGAGCUCAGUGCAGAAUGCCUCUGGGUAUCUCUCCACUCAUCCUCUUCACACAGUUGGCAAGGACAGUAAAUAGAAGGCUGGAGGUGUGUUGGUGUGUGUGUGUGUGUGUGUGUGUGUGUGUGUGUGUGUGUGUGUGUGUGUGUGUGUGUGUGUGUGUGUGUGUGUGUGUGUGUGUGUGUGUGUGUGUGUGUGUGUGUGUGUGUGUGUGUGUGUGUGUGUGUGUGUGUGUGGUGUGAUGGAUGCUGGAAGGUGGAAGAACAAGGGAAUGACAGCUAGAAAGAGGAGACAGUCGGAUAGAGCAAGGUGGAAGUGGAGCGGGAAAAGAAAGAAGGAAACCUUGAAAUGCUGUUAUUAUACAAAAAUUGAGGCCACUGUGACACUGUGGAAGAGCCAACACACAGGACUCUGGGUUCAGGGUUGCCUGGCAGAAAAGACUGAGCAUGGCUCAACUUCUACUUCUCAUUCUCAUUUCAGGUAUCUCCUAUCUGUAUAACAUCAUAUUAAGAUUUAAGACACUUUGAUUUAAAACCAAUGUUAAAUGAUUUUGUAUCACCAGUCUAAUUAUACUCUGCUGAUAAGAGGGGAAAAGAUGGGUGUGACGGUCGUCUCUUCUUGCCUCAAUGGUUCAUUAUCAGAUUGAUAGUCACAGUGAAAUAAUCGCAUUUCCCAGUAAAUAAAAACACAAGCUGUCAAAAUGUCCAGGCUGUAAUACACAAAGUGAAGCUCGCCCCCCCUAUUUGGAAAAUAUUUGGCCCAUUGUUGACAGCUUCAAACCGUAAAUAUCCUUCUCAGUUUUAUGAAAAAGUGCUACUGUUUAGGGAAAAACUGUUUCAAAGUUCACCGCUUUGAAACAGUUUGGUGCACUGGUUUUUUGUUUCUCUGUAACUCACUCUGUCUCUAUGUAUGUAAUUAAAGCAUUGGCCCUGGGGCCAAUUCCCUGCGGUGCAGGUCGGUGGACAGCCUUCUGAUGCCAUUAAGCACAGAUGGCAAAUUGUUUUCUAGGAAUCGCUCCUCCUCUCCCUUUGUGCUCUCUGAUUGUGUGCAAGUGUUGCAGGGAGAGGCAGAGACAUAAAGCCAGCAGAGUCCACACAAUUCUGAAAUCAAUUCCACUGAUUCUCACUGUAGACAGAAAGACAGACAGAGAAGCAGGCAGACAGGUUCAAUGAACUCAACCAAACUGCAAUAAAAUACUUUUUACCAGACAAAUAAAUGAUUGUGAAUUGUUUUUAUGCUAUUGCAGUAUUGUUAAUAUGUCUGUAUGAUAAAUAGAUACGUCCAAUGUGACUGGCUUAUGUGUGUCUAUAAAAUGUAUAUAAUA